UAGAAGACUUUACAGAAGCAGAAUAAGAAACCACACUAUUAACAGUGCAUUGUCCAGAACGUGUGGGUGUACCAUACGCUGUGGAGGCCGACGGCAUGUGAGGAUGAGUCUCAAAGGCUGCAGAGAGACAGGCAUGCUUGUAAAUGAGGAAAGUAGUGCCACAGCUGAGACGCCUGAUAGAGCCGGGCCGAGGUGGGCUUGAACUGUGACAGAGAACGUGCCACUGUUUUCUGAGCCUCGGCCUCCUCCUGGGUAAAGAACUGAGCGUCAGGGGACGAGGCGGCUACCCAGACCAGCGGGGACUCCCAUGGGGCUGCAACCCAGGGCUUCUCUUCACCCACAGCAGACUCUGUCUCCUACUCUGCGCCCACCAUGGAUUGAGACUCCGGGAAUAUAUGGAAAUGGCUCCCCCCGAAGAAGAUGUAACCAUGAAGGAGCUGGGCGAGCCACAGAAGAGCUUUCACCUCGGGGAAAGGAGCAAAGUUGUGCCCCGAAUGAUCACUCCGUUGGCUGGCGAGAGUGGCUUGUCUCCCAGAAGCAGAGAGAUCCCCCUGGGGGGGUCUUUGCAGUGCGCCCCCAGGAGCCUUCAGUGAGAGGUUAA
rnacentral:lncRNA from 1 species